AUGUAUCCGGUAGCAUGGAUAUGAUUAUGAAGCUAAAGGAUGAAUAUAUAUGGCAGACUGCUGCGCAUGAUGGAUAUCCCCAUGACAAUUCACAAAAGCUUGAAUGGAAACUGAAAUCUGAUGGUGGAAACCAAACGUUGAAACCUUCAUCAGAUGGAAACAAAGAAAUGACUGAACAUAUAUGCCAGUACGUCGUAGGCAUCUAUCUAGCUUGCUGAGCAUUUGUUAGAGGUGCAAUACACAUAUACUUUCAAUCCAUACAAGACGAAGAAACGCCGAUUGGAAAAGCUGAUUCCAUUAAAG